UACGUAGGGUGCAAGCGUUAAUCGGAAUUACUGGGCGUAAAGCGUGCGCAGGCGGUUAUGUAAGACAGUUGUGAAAUCCCCGGGCUCAACCUGGGAACUGCAUCUGUGACUGCAUAGCUAGAGUACGGCAGAGGGGGGAUGGAAUUCCGCGUGUAGCAGUGAAAUGCGUAGAUAUGCGGAGGAACACCGAUGGCGAAGGCAAUCCCCUGGACCUGUACUGACGCUCAUGCACGAAAGCGUGGGGAGCAAACAGG
rnacentral:rRNA from 1 species